rnacentral:tRNA from 1 species
GGAGCGGUAGUUCAGUUUGGUUAGAAUACCGGCCUGUCACGCCGGGGGUCGCGGGUUCGAGUCCCGUCCGCUCCGCCA